rnacentral:rRNA from 1 species
GGAGGUGCAAGCGUUAAUCGGAAUUACUGGGGCGUAAAGCGCACGCAGGCGGUUUGAUAAGUCAGAUGUGAAAGCCCCCGGGGCUCAACCUGGGGAACUGCAUUUGAUACUGUCAGACUAUAGUAUGGUAGAGAGAAGUAGAAUUCCACAUGUAGCGGUGAAAUGCGUAGGGAUGUGGAGGAAUAUCAGUGGCGAAGGCGACUUCUUGGACCAAUACUGACGCUCAGGUGCGAAAGCGUGGGGAGCAAACAGGAUUAGAUACCCUGGUAGUCCACGCCGUAAACGAUGUCUACUAGCCGUUGGGGGACUUGAUCCCUUAGUGGCGCAGCUAACGCCAUAAGUAGACCGCCUGGGGAGUACGGCCGCAAGGCUA